rnacentral:rRNA from 1 species
GACGAACGCUGGCGGCGUGCUUAACACAUGCAAGUCGAACGGAAAGGCCCUGCUUUUGUGGGGUGCUCGAGUGGCGAACGGGUGAGUAACACGUGAGUAACCUGCCCUUGACUUUGGGAUAACUUCAGGAAACUGGGGCUAAUACCGGAUAGGAGCUCCUGCUGCAUGGUGGGGGUUGGAAAGUUUCGGCGGUUGGGGAUGGGCUCGCGGCUUAUCAGCUUGUUGGUGGGGUAGUGGCUUACCAAGGCUUUGACUGGUAGCCGGCCUGAGAGGGUGACCGGCCACAUUGGGACUGAGAUACGGCCCAGACUCCUACGGGAGGCAGCAGUGGGGAAUAUUGCACAAUGGGCGGAAGCCUGAUGCAGCAACGCCGCGUGCGGGAUGACGGCCUUCGGGUUGUAAACCGCUUUCGCCUGUGACGAAGCGUGAGUGACGGUAAUGGGUAAAGAAGCACCGGCUAACUACGUG